UUCCCUCUUGCUGAGAGGUGGUGGAGUCAGUUGCAGCGACGGAUUGAAGAUGAAACAAGAAUAACAGAUUGAAGAAUACAGUAGCCAUAGGUAGCUGAAAACCUGCUAGAUUGACAGACAUUUAAUAUACUUCCAUGAUCAAAGUCUACAAGAAAACCCAGACUAGAUAUUUGACAAGUAUUUUUAAAAAAUAUUUGUACGAACACACUUCAACGUUUUCUGCACCACUUUAUCCAGUGAAAGUACCACUUUGUUCGGGCCUUAACAUGGAAUGUGGAGGACUUGUUUGUGAAG